AUAAUAUAAAAAAGAAGAUGUGGUAUGAUUGCCAAUGAGACAACUAUCCACAAAAGACCAAAAUGACACAGACAUUAACAACUAUUGGUCACCGUACGGCCUGCAACAAUGAGCAAAGCCCAUACCGCAUAGUCAGCUAUAAAAGGCCCCGAUUAGACAAUGUAAAACAAUUCAAACGAGAAAACUAACGGCCUUAUUUAUGUAAAAAAAAUGAACGAAAAACAAGUAUGUAACACAUAAACAAACGACAACCACUGAAUUACAGGCUCCUGACUUGGGACAGGCACAUACAUAAAUAAUGUGGCGGGG
rnacentral:lncRNA from 1 species